UUCUGUAUUACUUUUGACGAGAAAAUAGAAGCCAUUAGGUUAAAAAUAUCCCAGCAUGCCUUAACCCAGCCACAACACCCUACUAUUGAGGUGGGUGCCAUUACUGAGGUAUUACCUAGAUUUACAGAAUUUGAGAAAAAAAGUGAUGAAAAUG